rnacentral:lncRNA from 1 species
CGGCUCCGAGGUGACGCCCUUCUCCGUGGUCACGGAUGAGCGACUGGGAGCCAAGUACCCUCUGGCCGGUGAGGAGAAGAGACCUGCGAGGCCGUGGGAGGGCCGGUUUUGGGUGGUUUGGGCGCUUUUUUAAAGGGGGGAAUUUAUUGUAAGUGAUAAUGGAAAGAAAUGACCAAAGUUUGAAGAAGAAUUUAUAUAAUGAAUUGUUCUUUUUAAUCUUUAUAAUCUGUUUUCGCGUUCCAGGAUGGGCGUGGAAACCUUCUUCCGCUAAGCUCUAUCGAAGUUCAGCACUCUCGAGAUUUGCUUGACACGGCUUUCUCUGGUCGUAUGCAUCCCACCUAUGGCCGUUGCAUACAUAUACGAUCGACACCUGUCAGGGUCGACAAUCCUUCCGAUCGUGGAAGCUAUUCGUGCCCCCCUAGUCGAUAGACGGUGGUGACCUGGGAUAAAGUUGACCUGCGAGCUGACCAGGAAUGGAGUUGAGCCGCCGUUGAUCCGGCAGAUUCCGUUGGAUGCCGGUGGUGGGUGCUGAACCUAAGCGAUACACUGAGAAGUUGGCGGCUAGGGUGACUAGAUGAGGGUGCCCCGAAAUACCGGGGAAGGCAGGGUUUCGCAGGGUAGCGGCCACAGGGUGAAGGUAUGGCCCCCUGUCCCACACCAUAUACGUACAUACAAAUUUUCCUUUCUGCCUGCUCUGCUCGGCCGUGAUCCCUCCCUUUCCAGAUUACGCUUUGACGCCCAAUAUGGCGAUCGUGGACCCUCAGCUGGUUCUCAACAUCCCCAAGAAGCUCACCGCCUGGGGCGGCGUUGACGCGCUCACCCACGCCUUGGAGAGCUACGUGUCCAUCUGCGCGACAGGUGGGUGACGGUGAGGGUUGUGGGUUGUGGGUGUCUUUGAUGGUGAUGAUGGUCACCGGCCGGUGUGUGUUCAGGAAUGUGCAGAGCAUGUGCUCCGCCCCCGGGUCUCCGUCUGCCGUUGGUGUUCGGUAUUGUUGUGUGAGUUUGGCAUGCGUCAUGUUUCGGAUGAUGGCCCUACAGCUGGCCAACCACCAUUCCUUGGGUUCUUUGCCCCAUACACAUACAGAGUACACUCGCGGCCUGUCCCGCGAGGCCAUCUCGCUGCUGUUCAAGUACCUGCCGCGGGCCUAUGCCAACGGUGCGAACGACUACGAGGCGCGUGAGAAGGUGCACUACGCGGCCACCAUCGCCGGCAUGGCCUUCGCAAACGCGUUCCUGGGCAUUUGCCACUCCAUGGCGCACAAACUGGGUGAGCCUCAGCUGCUAAGGAUUACACUUCUGCUUUUCCUUUGUUGUGUCGUGUCAUAGUCUGCGUGACAUAGAACCAGCGGUGCCGUCGUUGUGCAUAAGUGUUUUGCUUGGGGGGGGAAGGGCCCGUAGUACAGGAAGCCAUGUUGAAUGCCGGCUUCGGUCCACGCGGUCAUUCGCUGCCUAACCCUGCUGUCUCAUUAUCUUGCUGCUGCAGGCGCCGCCUUCCACGUGCCUCACGGUCUUGCCAACGCGGCCCUCAUCAGCCACGUGAUUCGCUACAACGCCACCGACAUGCCCGCCAAGCAGGCGGCCUUCCCGCAGUACCAGUACCCCAACGCCAAGCACCAUUACGCGGAGCUGGCGACCAUGCUUAACCUAGGUGGCGAGACGGACGACGAGAAGGUAUGGCCGUUCGGCAGAAUCAGGAUCAUUUCGAUGGCCAAUUGUAACCACCCUUGGUUUGUUCAUGGACCUAACAGCUGAUCCGUCUUUGCACAUUGUAAUUAUUAUUUCAAGAGCCGUGCCGGCUUAAUUUUGCUGAGAAUGGACGAUUUUUAGUUUUUGGUGUGCAUGCUUGAAAGCAUGUGGAGGCACAUACAAUACAACUCGGUUUAUUUUGCCGAUUGGCCCAACUGAUUGCUACACCUUGCACAAGCUCCAGCGCUGAUCAUUUCUUACCACAAAUCUCCAAUAAAAGUGUUGCAAAAUAACGCAGCCGCGUCCAUGCAUGAACGAUUAACCUUGAUCUUGAGUUGUAAAUCUUCAUUUUUCCCCUAUGGUAUUUAAUCCAGG